CCUUUUGCAUCAUGAUUUAGCCAGUAAACUCAAGCAAAGAGUACUUUAGUUUGAGACCCCGAAACUAAGGGAGCUACUCCAAGACAGCCUAUUUAUAGGGCAAACCCGUCUCUGUAGCAAAAGAGUGGGAAGAGCUUUGAGUAGAGGUGACAGACCUACCGAACUUAGUUAUAGCUGGUUGCCUGAGAAUUGAAUAGCAGUUCAGCCUUCCGGAUUCUCCCUUCAACACUGCAAUUGUGCUUAUAUAGAUAUAAGAGAAACCGCCAGAGUCAGUCAAAGGGGGUCCAGCCCCUUUGAACCAAGACACAGCUUUUUCAGGAGGGUAAAGAUCAUAACAAACCAAAGAAAUAAUGUUCUGGUGGGCCUAAAAGCAGCCAUCCUAACAAAAAGCGUUAAAGCUUAGACAUUAAAUCAUCUUCUAAUUAUUCCGAUAAUUAAAUCUUACCCCCCUAGCCUUAUCAGGCCCCCCUAUGCCGCCAUAGGAGUGAUAAUGCUAAUAUGAGUAAUAAGAGGUACCUCCCCCUCUCCUUGCACACGUGUAAAUCGGAACGGACCCGCACCGAAUAUUAACGGCCCCAAAAAAAGAGGGAAUUGAAAAAUUAACUAGACAAACCAGAAAACCCCACAACACACCACCGUUAACCCCACACUGGUGUGCCUUCAAGGAAAGACUUAAAGAAAGAGAAGGAACUCGGCAAACACUUAGCCUCGCCUGUUUACCAAAAACAUCGCCUCUUGUAUUACCCAAAUAAGAGGUCUAGCCUGCCCACUGACUAUAUGUUCAACGGCCGCGGUAUUUUGACCGUGCAAAGGUAGCGUAAUCAUUUGUCUUUUAAAUGAAGACCAGUAUGAAAGGCACCACGAGGGCUCGACUGUCUCCUCUUUCAGGUCAAUGAAAUUGAUCUCCCCGUGCAGAAGCGGGGAUAAUACCAUAAGACGAGAAGACCCUAUGGAGCUUUAGACGAUGGGAUAGACCAUGUUAAUUACCCCUAUAUAAAGGACGGAACCUAGUGAGAACUACCACAAUGUCUUAGGUUGGGGCGACCAUGGAGUAACAAAAAUCCUCCACGCGGAAUGGGAGCAUUACUAUUUACAUCACUAUCGUUACCUAACCCCCACUACUCCCAAAAUUAAGGGCUACAGCCCUAGCUAACAGAAUUUCUGACCUAAAUUGAUCCGGCAACGCCGAUUAACGGACCAAGUUACCCUAGGGAUAACAGCGCAAUCCCCUUUUAGAGCCCAUAUCGACAAGGGGGUUUACGACCUCGAUGUUGGAUCAGGACAUCCUA
rnacentral:rRNA from 1 species